rnacentral:rRNA from 1 species
ACCUGCCGAAUGAAUUAGCCCUGAAAAUGGAUGGCGCUAAAGCGGGUGGCCGACACCACACCGUGUGACCGAGUAUGGAUGUUGCAUGAGUAGGAGGGCGUGGCGGGCGUGGAGAAGCAUGGGCGCAAGCCCUUGUGGAACGGUCCGCUAGUGCAGAUCUUGGUGGUAGUAGCAAAUAUUCAAGCGAGAACCUUGAAGGGCGAAGCGGGGAAGGGUUCCACGCGAACAUUGAUUGGGCGUGGGUGAGUCGUUCCUAAGCCGAGUGGCAAUUGCUAAUUAGCGGCGAAAGGGGAGCGGGUUGAAAUUCCCGCACACGGAUGUGGAGAGCGGUGACGCGAAAUGGGGCGAACACGCUGGCGGUGGCGCUGGGCAGAGUUGUCUUUUCUGUUUGACUGAGUGUGUUGGCUGUGUGGAAUCCGCUUGUCGGGAGAAACACGCUAGCACGGGCAGAGCGCCGGGGCUUUUCCGGCGUCCAGCUCGCCACCGACGGCCCUUGAAACUUUGCCUGCUGAACAUUUUUUUUGAUCCACGCCGUGGCGUACCGAUAACCGCAUCAGGUCCCCGAGGUGAACAGCCUCUGCUCGAUAUGAACAAUGCAGGUAAGGGAAGUCGGCAAAUUGGACCCGUAACUUUGGGAAAAGGGUUGGCUCUAGUGCUGCGUGGGAGUGGUUGUCUGUGUGCGGGGAUGGGGUGCGAACCGGCUCUGGCGCGGCGGAAUCUGCCCUCGGGUGGAGGAGGCUGUUCUGGGCUGUUUGUGCACUGUUUGCGCUGCGGACGACGCCCACGGCAUGCAGCAGACUAGAACUGCAACGGGCAAAGGGAAUCCGACUGUUUAAUUAAAACAAAGCAUUGAGAAGG